GUUUGAUGUUUGUGUCUUUGGGGCUUUGGAGCUGGAGAUUAAAAGGAAAUGGAUAUGGUAACAUUCUGACUCUCAAGGAUCUCAAAGUCCACAGGCCAACCCUGUGGCGCAGUGGUUAAGUGCGCACGUUCCACUUUGGCAGCCUGGGGUUCGCCAGUUUGGAUCCUGGGUGCGGACAUGACACCGCUUGGCAAGCCAUGCUGUGGUAGGCGUCCCACAUAUAAAGUAGAGGAAGAUGGGCACGGAUGUUAGCUCAGGGCCAGUCUUCCUCAGCAAAAAGAGGAUUGGAAGCAGUGAGCUCAGGGCUUAUCUUCCUCAAAAAAAAAAUAGAAAAGGAUCUCAAAGUCCAAUAGAAGAAUUUGUGCCUAUUGAAGCACUCUCAUUUUAGUGGCACAGAAGAUAAGGGAAGAAAGGGAAAGAAAGGUUAGCAAGAUUGGAAGAAACCAUCUAUCCACGGAGUGGGGGAUGGAGAGUAAACUGAAGACAUCUAGAAGUAACUUCAUUUCAUCAUUUUGGGGAGAAGAGUGGGAGGCAUUAAGAUCUGACCUUGUAUUUUGUCCCUUCUGAGCCUCACUAGAGACUAGUGAGAUAUUCAAAGCAAGCAACAGCCUUAUUUUACAGAUGAGGAAACAAAGACAGAGAUGAGGUAAUGCAUGCACGAGGUACAACACUCAAGGAGACUAAAAGGGAAUACCUACAGUGAAAAAUGAGUUUCCUUUCCUGUUAAACACUCAGUUCCCUUCCCUGAAGGCAAUCGUUAGCUAUCAGUUUCGUGUGCAUAAUACCAGAGAGAGAUUUUCAGUGCAUGUAGGUGUGUGUGUGCAUGUGUGUGUCCUUUAAAAAUACACAUAAGUGGUUUUCUUCACAUACUAAUUUUGGAAGUCAUUCCAUGUCAGUACAGACUGAACUACCCAGGUUUUUUUUUUUUGGUGGGAAGAUUGGCCCUGAGCUAACAUCUGUGCCAAUCUUCCUCUUUUUUUGCUUGAGGAAAAUUGUCCCAGAGCUAACAUCUGUGCCAGUCUUCUUCUUUUUUGUAUGUAGGAUGCCACCACAGCAUGGCUUGAUGAGUGGUGUGUAGGUCUGUGCCUGGGGUCCGAGACUGCAAACCCCAGGCUGCCAAAGUGGAGCAUGCGAACUUAACCACUACACCACAAGGCCGGCCCCCCAGUUCCUUUUAAACCAC
rnacentral:lncRNA from 1 species